UACAGAGGGUGCAAGCGUUAAUCGGAAUUAUUGGGCGUAAAGCGCGCGUAGGUGGAUUGAUAAGUUGGAUGUGAAAUCCCUGGGCUUAACCUGGGAAUUGCAUUCAAGACUGUUUUUCUAGAGUACAGUAGAGGGAAGUGGAAUUUCCGGUGUAGCGGUGAAAUGCGUAGAUAUCGGAAAGAACAUCAGUGGCGAAGGCGACUUCCUGGAUUGAUACUGACACUGAGGUGCGAAAGCGUGGGGAGCAAACAGG
rnacentral:rRNA from 1 species